rnacentral:rRNA from 1 species
GACGGAGGGUGCUAGCGUUGUUCGGAAUCACUGGGCGUAAAGGGCGCGUAGGCGGCCUUGCAAGUCGGUUGGUGAAAGCCCGGGGCUCAACCCCGGAGGUGCGGCCGAGACUGCAGGGCUGGAGGCCGGAAGAGGAGGGUGGAAUACCCAGUGUAGAGGUGAAAUUCGUAGAUAUUGGGUGGAACACCGGUGGCGAAAGCGGCUCUCUGGUCCGGACCUGACGCUGAGGCGCGAAAGCGUGGGGAGCGAACGGG